rnacentral:lncRNA from 1 species
CUUAGAAGUCUUGAUACCAAGAUUUUUAUUCUGAUCCCAUUGGUUUUUCUUCUCAGGCUGUUAAAACAUCAUCUUUCUUCAAAGUCUUAGAAAUAGAAUUAUCAACAAGGCUGAUUUUUAGAGAGAAUAAAAGCAACAAGGUGCUCUGAAGAGAGAAGCAGUAAAUGGUGUGUAACAGGUUUCCAGGUGGCUGCAUCAAAACCAGGAUUCAAUAGCCUAUACUGCCCUGGAAAGACACCAGACGUGGUGAUGUGAUGUCAAUCCCUCCAGCUCACCUUUCUCCUGGGGGUCUGUGCAGCUCCCUCUGGUCCCUCAGCUGCUGGAGGUUACCUUGGAGUCUACAAACUCUCAACACCACGACUCACUCUAUAAAUGUAAGUGCAGGGGGGGCUUUGCCAUUUUUUAGCCUCUCUUUUGAGCUAUAUUUCUAGGAGGAAGGAAAAUGUAAUGGCACAGGACCAGCCACAGACAACUGAUGAACCCCUGUGGUUUUAAAAUGAGCACUGACAGAAAAGAUGUCUACUGCCUGGUGCAACCAGCUUUUCAGAUGUGAACUGGGGGAACUGGGAAGAUCUGUGGUUCCUUUUUGGAGCUGACUGGGGAGAGGCAGAGGGGAAGAACCAGUGUGACUGCUCCAAUCUAGGACUGUUCUACCUGCUGGCCUUCAAUAGAUGACAGAGAGAGCCUAAAACCAACUUUGAGGUUUAGAUGAAGCUGACUGAACCUGGAGUCCCAGUGAGACAAGCCAAGUUGAAAGCUGGUAUGCAGUGCACUGAGACACAUCACAGUGGGCAGGGAAACGUCCAGAUGUGGGUGUACUGGCAAAGUGGGCAGCACCACGGCAGACCCAACCCAACAUGCCAAAAUUUGCUGACAUAUGCCAGUCAUAGAUUUUAAUUAAAACACAGCUCCAUAGAGAUAUUCACUGUCUAUCAGUAA